CAGCACCUCAAGUGGUCAGGAUGAUUAUUGGGCCUAAAGCAUCCGUAGCCGGCGCUGUAAGUUUUCGGUUAAAUCUGUACGCUCAACGUACAGGCUGCCGGGAAUACUGCAGCGCUAGGGAGUGGGAGAGGUAGACGGUACUCGGUAGGAAGGGGUAAAAUCCUUUGAUCUAUCGAUGACCACCUGUGGCGAAGGCGGUCUACCAGAACACGUCCGACGGUGAGGGAUGAAAGCUGGGGGAGCAAACCGGAUUAGAGACCCGCGUAGUCC
rnacentral:rRNA from 1 species